GACGGAGGAUGCAAGCGUUAUCCGGAAUUAUUGGGCGUAAAGAGCUCGUAGGCGGUUUGUCGCGUCUGCCGUGAAAAUCCGGGGCUCAACCCCGGACUUGCGGUGGGUACGGGCAGACUAGAGUGAUGUAGGGGAGACUGGAAUUCCUGGUGUAGCGGUGAAAUGCGCAGAUAUCAGGAGGAACACCGAUGGCGAAGGCAGGUCUCUGGGCAUUAACUGACGCUGAGGAGCGAAAGCAUGGGGAGCGAACAGG
rnacentral:rRNA from 1 species